CAUUUCUUCACUCUGGAGUUGUACAAGUCCUGAAGACUGGGCAGAUGCACACCAAUGAUCCGUCCUGCUGUCCUAACAGUCCGUUGCAGUCUUCUUAAAUCUGAUUUGCUGGCUGACCCAAACCAGACAGUUAUAGAAGAGCACAGAACCGACUCAAUAAUAGCUGAGUAAAACUGGGUCAUCUCUGCCUG